rnacentral:rRNA from 1 species
AGCGAACGCUGGCGGCAGGCCUAACACAUGCAAGUCGAGCGCCCAGCAAUGGGAGCGGCAGACGGGAGAGUAACACGUGGGAACAUGCCCUUCAGUACGGAACAACCAAGGGAAACUUUGGCUAAUACCGUAUACGCCCGUAAGGGGAAAGAUUUAUCGCUGAAGGAUUGGCCCGCGUCUGAUUAGCUAGUUGGUGGGGUAAUGGCCCACCAAGGCGACGAUCAGUAGCUGGUCUGAGAGGAUGAUCAGCCUCACUGGGACUGAGACACGGCCCAGACUCCUACGGGAGGCAGCAGUGGGGAAUAUUCCACAAUGGGCGAGAGCCUGAUGGAGCAACGCCGCGUGCAGGAUGAAUGCCUUCGGGUUGUAAACUGCUUUUAUGUGCGAAGAAUUUGACUGUAACACAUGAAUAAGGAUCGGCUAACUACGUGCCAGCAGCCGCAGUAAUAC